rnacentral:rRNA from 1 species
GCAACGCGAAGAACCUUACCAGGUCUUGACAUCCCUCUGACCGCUCUAGAGAUAGAGUUUUCCUUCGGGACAGAGGUGACAGGUGGUGCAUGGUUGUCGUCAGCUCGUGUCGUGAGAUGUUGGGUUAAGUCCCGCAACGAGCGCAACCCCUAUUGUUAGUUGCCAUCAUUCAGUUGGGCACUCUAGCGAGACUGCCGGUAAUAAACCGGAGGAAGGUGGGGAUGACGUCAAAUCAUCAUGCCCCUUAUGACCUGGGCUACACACGUGCUACAAUGGCUGGUACAACGAGUCGCAAGCCGGUGACGGCAAGCUAAUCUCUUAAAGCCAGUCUCAGUUCGGAUUGUAGGCUGCAACUCGCCUACAUGAAGUCGGAAUCGCUAGUAAUCGCGGAUCAGCACGCCGCGGUGAAUACGUUCCCGGGCCUUGUACACACCGCCCGUCACACCACGAGAGUUUGUAACACCCGAAGUCGGUGAGGUAACCUUUUAGGAGCCAGCCGCCUAAGGUGGGAUAGAUGAUUGGGGUGAAGUCGUAACAAGGUAGCCGUAUCGGAAGGUGCGGCUGGAUCACCUCCUUUCUAAGGA